AGGAGUGCGUAAUAGCUAACUGGUCGAGCGAUCCUGCGCCUAAAAUGAACGGGGAUAAGCGUUAAACCGAAGCUGCGGAUAAAGUUAUGUAGGGUAGGGGAGCGUUCUAUGUAGGGUGAAGCGUUAGCGUAAGCGGACGUGGACAGCAUAGAAGUGAGAAUGUCGGCUUGAGUAGCGAAAACAUGGGUGAGAAUCCCAUGCCCCGAAAACCUAAGGUUUCCUUCGGAAGGCUCGUCCGCGGAGGGUUAGUCUGGACCUAAGGCGAGGCCGAAAGGCGUAGUCGAUGGAUAACAGGUCAAUAUUCCUGUACCAGAUGUGUUUUGAGAAGGGGGACGGAGAAGGCUAACCAGGCCAGAUGUUGGUUACUGGUUCAAGCGUUCGAGGCUUUGAGAGAUGGAGAAAACAUCUUGAGCUAAGGCGUGAGUACGAGCUGCUACGGCAGCGAAGUUGGUGAUGUCAUGCUUCCAAGAAAAGCCCUAUACUCGUUAAGACACAAAUGCCAGUACCCGAAACCGACACAGGUGGGGUGGUAGAGAAUACCGAGGGGCGCGAGAUAACUCUCUCUAAGGAACUCGGCAAAAUGGCCCCGUAACUUCGGGAGAAGGGGUGCCAGCGAGAGCUGGUCGCAGUGAAGAGGCGCAAGCGACUGUUUACCAAAAACACAGGUCUCCGCUAAGUCGCAAGACGAUGUAUGGGGGCUGACACCUGCCCAGUGCCGGAAGGUUAAGGAAGCUGGUUAGCUUUUAGUGAAGCUGGCGACUGAAGCCCCGGUGAACGGCGGCCGUAACUAUAACGGUCCUAAGGUAGCGAAAUUCCUUGUCGGGUAAGUUCCGACCCGCACGAAAGGUGUAACGAUUUGCGCGCUGUCUCGGAGAGAGGCUCGGCGAAAUAGAAUUGUCUGUGAAGAUGCGGACUACAUACACCCGGACAGAAAGACCCUAUGAAGCUUUACUGUAGUUUGAUAUUGUGCUCGGGCUCUGAAUGCGCAGAAUAGGUGGGAGACGUUGAAAUAGUGCUUGUGGGUACUAUUGAGUCAUCGGUGAGAUACCACUCUUUUAGAGCUAGGGUUCUAACGCUUACCCGUUAUCCGGGAAGCGGACAGUAUCUGAUGGGCAGUUUGACUGGGGCGGUCUCCUCCUAAAGAGUAACGGAGGAACGCGAUGGUACCCUCAAUACGGUUGGAAAUCGUAUGAUGCGUGUAAAGGCAUAAGGGUGCUUGACUGCGAGACAGACAAGUCGAGCAGGUACGAAAGUCGGUCAUAGUGAUCCGGUGGUUCUGCGUGGAAGGGCCAUCGCUCAACGGAUAAAAGGUACGCCGGGGAUAACAGGCUGAUACCGCCCAAGAGUUCAUAUCGACGGCGGUGUUUGGCACCUCGAUGUCGGCUCAUCACAUCCUGGGGCUGGAGCAGGUCCCAAGGGUAUGGCUGUUCGCCAUUUAAAGUGGUNNNNNNNNNNAGCUGGGUUUAGAACGUCGUGAGACAGUUCGGUCCCUAUCUACCGUGCGCGUUUGAUAUUUGAUGGAUGUUGCUCCUAGUACGAGAGGACCGGAGUGAACCUAUCCCUGGUGUUCCAGUUGUCUCACCAGAGGCAUUGCUGGGUAGCUAUAUAGGGUUGUGAUAACCGCUGAAAGCAUCUAAGCGGGAAGCCAUACCAAAGAUUAGAUAUCACUGGACCUUUAAGGUCCCUAAAGAUCCGUUGUAGACUACGACGUUGAUAGGCUAGGUGUGGAAG
rnacentral:rRNA from 1 species